GUCUAAAGCCUCCAUUUCCCUGAAAAUUUUGUCUAGAAGGCUGCAUUUCUCAGGCAUAAGCUCUUGCCAGCCAUUCACGGUGAUUACGGGAAGGUUAAGCAUUGUUGGGACUCACAAAACAGCUGUGUUAAGCAUUACUACCUCUGAACGCUUCAGGAGGAAAGCCACAUUCUCCUGUGGAAGGAAAUAGUUGCAGUCCACGCUCCUGCCAUCAGAGUUGGAGACAAGAUGAAGCUGGAGACAGUCCUUCUGCAUGAGCAGGAAACGUUAUUUUACUGGCCAGGCCAGAGGUGAUACCUGCUCCCUUCACCUUCUGCUGUGAGUGGAAGCUCCCUGAAGCUCUCACCAGAAGCAGAUGCUGGCACCAUGCUUCUUGUACAGUUUGAGGAACCAUGAGUUAAAUAAACCUCUUUUCUUUAUAAAUCACCCAGCCUUGACUAUUCCUUCAUAGAAAUGGAAGCAGACUAAGACAGAGGGAGAUAGAGAUGGUGUAGGUGCAGAAGAGAAGCUGGGAGAGCAAGGUGGGGAGGAGGAAUGCAUCUCUGUAGUCCCCAUGGAGUGAGGGCCAAAGUCACUUGCUGAGGGGAGUGGGCAGGGGUUUGAGAGGGGAGUGAGGGUUGAAUGGAGGUUGGGUGGAACAGGGAGAUGACAGUUCUGAACAGUCUGGCAGUGCUGAGAACCCAGUGGCACUCAGUAGCCUGGGUAGGCAUGGAGAAGGUGAGGCCAUCAGACUGUCCCUGGGUAGGGUUUGCUGGGUGGGUGAGAGGCAAAACUGGGGCAGUGUCGGGGCGGAGUCUGGGCCCAUGAGGAAAGGAGGGUGGGAGGCAGGACAGACUCACAGGCUAUAAAUUUUGCAGAAUCUGAAGAAAGUCACAAAUGAGACUCAUCCCUUAAGUCUCCAGACAGUAACUAUGGUGCCAGGAUGACUCAGGCCCAAUCUUUUUGGGGCUUCCCAGUCAACAGUAGCCUGACCCUAAAAGAGCUGCUCUAAGCAUGGGCCCUGUACAGGGAACUGUGGAACAGUGGGCCUGUGAGGCAAGGUCCCUGGCCUGCACUACCCACCUGCCUUCCCGGGCAAGGCUGAUGUGCUGCUGAGAGCUAGGUGACCCUAUGAGGGGGCUAAGGGACCCCACUAGGGAGCUAG
rnacentral:lncRNA from 1 species